rnacentral:rRNA from 1 species
UACGUAGGGGGCAAGCGUUGUCCGGAUUUAUUGGGCGUAAAGAGCGUGUAGGCGGCUUUGCAAGUCCGUUGUGAAAACUCGGAGGCUCAACCUCGAGACGCCGGUGGAAACUGCAAAGCUAGAGUCCGGAAGAGGAGAGUGGAAUUCCUGGUGUAGCGGUGAAAUGCGCAGAUGAUCAGGAGGAACACCGGUGGCGAAGGCGGAUCUCGUG